rfam:Camelus ferus unplaced genomic scaffold scaffold1783, whole genome shotgun sequence.
AGGAAAUUGCCCCACAAGGAGAUUCGUCUGAUAUCCAACCAGAAGAAAUGGACUUGGCCCCGGGCCUAAGGGUAUUUAGAUCUUGUGGCCAGCUUCUGUCCCUGCCAUCGGUCAUUGCUCUUUGCUCACUUUUUGUUUUGCCGGAAAUGUGACUUUCCUGGUCUCUAAUGAUCUGC